rnacentral:lncRNA from 1 species
UGCCUUUUUCUUUUCAUCAACCUUGGUGACUAUCAGUGUCAAAGAAAGCUUAAUUCUUCGUUCUGUUUUUAUUUGUCUCUUUAAAGGUUUGUAAAUUUUUUUUCUAUCGACCUUAUUCAACCAUGUAAAUGGAAAAUUUAUGUUAAAAUUCUUCCAUGCAUAGUAGGUACAAAGUGGUUGAGAUAGUUCACAAAAAUGUUAUGGAUGGCUUCUUGUGAUUUAAUAUUGGAGUCCAUAAUAUCUCUACACUCCAGAUCGCGUAGAACUAACUAGAUUGCUCAUUAUUUUCCCGAGCUUGUUGUUUUUGAAACGCUGGACGAUGCUGACAUUUGUGUUGCGUUCGCAGGUUAUGAAAUGGAUGAACAGGCUCCUGAUUCUAAUUACUUGCGGCUGCAGUUUUAUCAGUUCCCGGAUCCCAGGUCAAGACCUGGCCGUAACAAGGGGUGAUAGGCAUUAGGUGAUGAGAAACAUCCGUGUUGAUGUAAUCAAGAUUGCAUUUGCUCUUAUACAUUAUAUAUAUUGCUCAGGCUUGGGCACACACUAAUUGUAAGCACUUCUGAUGCACAUUGUUGUUCUAGGUAGUGAAAUCAGAAACAGUUUUAUAGUUGUGUUGAACGAUCUGAUUUUGCACGUCCAUGGUCUACAAUUUACUCAAGGAAUGUUUUAAUUCUGAAUUGAGAUUGUACUGUGCAUAGACUACCGCAAAAUUAGUACAGAGAUAGUUUCCCUAUAGAUUGUUUUCAUAUACUAGAGGACUUCCAUGGCCAGGGUAUCUUGCCACCAUAUUGUCCCCGUACAUUUUCCCUCCAUAUUAGUUAUAUAUUUAUCUGGACAUUCUAACCUAAUGAAGUCCUACAAUCAUCAUAACUCAUUUUACUUAGCUCAUGCUCCUUACAAUAUUUGAUGAACUCACAUAAGAAACUCAUAGAAAUUUGUUCCCAGUCAUUACCUUUGGACUGCAGUUGAAGCUUAUGAUACAUCCUCCCAAUGCUAAGCACUAGCUAGUGGGUUGUCGACUAAUCUAUGCCACCGUACACAUCGCAGGGGCUUUGAACUCUGUCUCAAUUAUUGUAAAGACGUUAGCCUCUUCAAUGAAAGAACCCAUAGUCCUAUGCUGCUAGAGCUCCCCCCACCCUUCUUGGAAUUAAUAUAGUGUUAGGACAUAUCGCUCUAUUUCUCACAUCACGUGACUAAUGAUUUCUUUGAAGUUACUUCUUUAGGAAACACUUAUACUACAAGUGCUUUUAUUAUAUAGAAUCUUUAUAAGCAAUCCAAGUGUUCAUUGAAAACGUAUUUGAAAGUGCUUCUUGAAAAAGCAUUUGGCAAGUGCUUCUUGAAAAAGCAUUUGGCAAGUGCUUCUAUAAAAGAGCUUAUUGGGUCAAAAGAAUUUCUAAGUUUUUUUUUCUGCCAAGCACAACAGAAUACACAUUUUAGCUUUUUCCAGAACCAAUCCCAGACAAGUUCUAAGCAAAGAAAGGGCGAUACAGCCUGAAGACAACGGAGAAUUUCCCUGACGUUAAAGGUUUUGUUUGUUCGGUCACUAAACCCAAAAAAAUAGAAAACUUGAAGUGGGCAAUGAAUUGGUUUUCGAUUUCCAUUAAAUUGGCACAACAUUCGGCAUUGUUAUGCAAAAAUAUACUUUUUUCUUAUCAUUAGUUUUACACACACUCUAGUCUGUGGUAUAAAAUGAGCUAGGGUUUGGUUGGAGAACAAGUCUACGUGGUAUCAUCACUUACAUUACAUGCCAUGUGGGCUGGAGGGUUUCAUUUGGUGCCAUUACUCCUUUUUCUGUUCUAUAAUCAUUUUGGAACUGGAAGAGAAAGUGGAGGGGAAAAGGUAGUUUAGGGCAAAAAUUUUCCAAUCAAUUUUUUGGCAGUGUGACUGUUUUCGAAAUAUAGAGUAGUUGUGGCAAAAAAGAAAAAGGAAAGGGGUAAUUGUACAUACACAUUGUUCCAAAGGGUCAGUUGUCCCACAACUUGUCAAGGGACCAGAGCAUUAAGUUGUAGCUGCAAGUGCAAGGAGAAAGUUGUGGAUUAGAUAGACCAAUGGAUUUGGUUUGGUUUAAUUCCAAGUCAUCGUCGUUUCUUCUUCUAUGUGGCCCAGCCGCCCAGGACUUUAGUCCUUAUUUGGCAGGUACUUAUUACAAGGUUAGAUAAAGGGAGAUGAUACAUGGAGAACGGUUUGCCAAGUUUGUUAGAGUGGAUCCGGAUCCAUGAGUGUUGGAUCUCUAGUAAUUGAAUCUUUAGUUAAAGAUUCAAUGUCUCAACGAUCUAUGCUAUACAUUUGUCUUUACGAAUUUUCAUUCAUUGUGUAUUACAUAAUAUUCUUGACCCUCUUAUAUGUGACUUCGGCCGACUUCUAUCACCCGAUAUCGUUGUGUAAUAACUUGAUGAGAUAGCCAAUGCUUAGGUCAUCUUCAAUGGAGAUGGCUAAAGGUCAAAAAGCUAAAAAAUAGUAUGAUUUGUUCAAAAACUCAUCUCCAACCAAUGUCAGAGCUAUAAUUAUAUGGAGCCCACCAUGCCAUUAUUUGGCUAGUGCCCCUUUCUUAGCCCCUUUUUGGGGCCUAGCUCCUCGAUUAUGCCAUCUGCAAUGAAGAGGGCUAAAUGUCUAAAAGCCAAAAAAUGACAUGAUUUACCCAAAAACUCAUCUCCAACCAAUAGCUAGGUUAUAAUUCUAUGGAUUCAACAGUUAGAUUUGGAAACAUCCAAUGUUAGUUUAAUUAAAUUAAAGUAUAAACUUAAAACUAAUAAAUUAUUAGGGAGCCUAUGUUUUAGCCCUUUCGGUUGGAGAUGGUAUAUGAGUAUGGCCGACACUAUUCAUUUAAAAAUAAUUUUUUUGUUGGGUUAUAAUUUUGGAUGAGGCUAUGUCUAGCCCUUUUGGUUGGAGAUGACCUUACAAUGAUUAAUUCAAAUUCAAUGGUUAAAUUUGAAAAUAUCCAACAAAACAUCCAACAGUAGUUUAAUUAAAUUAAUCAAUAAUUUUAAGUAUAAACUCAGAACUAAUAAAUUAUUGAGGGAGUUAUGUUUAGCCUUUUCGGUUGGAAAUGAUAUAUGAGUAUGGCCUAAUACUGUUUAUUAAAAAAAAAAUCUUUAGUUAUCUCUGCUAAUCAAUAAAACACUCAUUGUCAACCAAAAUCCUAUGAAAUUACCAGUUUAACCUUCUAAUUAAAACAAAACAUGAAUAAGAAAUAUGGGGCGGAAAUUUAAUUUUACACAAACAAAAUUUGUUGUUUUUUUUUUUCAAAACUUCAUCUAUAUAUAAUUCUAACAUAUCUCUAAUUAUAAAAUAAAUAAAAAAUAAAAAUAAAAACUUCCUACUCCCACAUUCUCUAUCACUCCCUUCCUCUCUUCUUUUAUUUUAAAACAAAAAAAAAAAUUUCACAUACUUUAUAUAUGCCCAUAUGCUAGUAAUUAUAAACGAAACUAUAUUUAACUAUUUCGUUGAAAAUGACCGUACGAGUAUGUAAAUUUUGAAAUGUGAGUUGUCGUUCACUACGCAAGCAAAGAUCGAAAGCCUUCAUGUACCGAGGGGUCCCACUCCUUGAAUCAGAAUAAAAGUGCUUUGAAAAAGUCCCUUUAAUUAUGUCCAAGUUUGGAUAAAAUUUGUCCAUGCAUGGCAUGCACUCACUGACUGAUCUCGUCGUCCUGAAGGGUAAGAGAGGUAAAUUCCAGAAUAACCCACGAGGCACUGUAUGAAGCCUGUCAAUUACAUCAACUCAUCAAGCUUUCAAUCUUUUCAUGGCAUGCCUAACUUCUGUGAAAUAUGCUCAACAUUUAACAUUUUGUAAACCAAAAAGAGAGUAAGAGAGAGAUGAUUGAAGUAAUAAAGUAAAAGCGAAAUGCAUGCAUUGAUAAAAGGAAAUUUUAACAAAAAAAAUUUCGGUACUGUUUACUUUAACAAAAAAUUAUAUUUUUACAUUAAAAAGUCAAUUCUAAUACUAUUCAUUUUACCCUUUAUUUGUUCUUUAUUGUUAAAAAUCAAAUUUUUCAAUCCAUUUUUAUUAGUUUUCCUUUGAUAAAAGGAGAAAGAUGCAUGGAGAACUGGUUUUUUAUUUUAUUAUUAUUUUUUUUACAAACAAUAAUAUUAGAGUGGAUUAAGUUAUUAGCUGUUAGCGAGAAGAGGAUCAAUAAUAAUCAAACUAGCACCCGGAUGUAUAAGCAUAAUUGUUUUCUAAAAUUGCAAUAAAACGUCACUUUCCAUAUAUAUAUAUAUAAAAAAAAAAAACUUAUUGUUCCUUGUAUGAUGGAUUGCAAUCUCAAUAUCGUUCUUAAUGGAACGGCCACAAUUAGUUGUUCAGGACAUAAACAAUAUGUAUUGUCUUUAUAUUUAGGAAAUUGGCUCUGUUAGCCUUAUUACAAACCCAACAAUUAAAAAUACUCCCAAAUUAUAAUCUCUAUUAGCCCUCUUUUCCUUAAAUACCACUAACUUGAAAGAUGAACUGUUAUUCUAUGUCUCGACGUUGGAUCUCGAUGGCAUCCAAAAGGGCCUCUCAACUCCCUUCCGACUGUAUCUCGACUGAAUCACGACGGCAUCUCAACGGCACAGAACUGAAUUACCCUUAUAUUUAUGAGUUGAUCAGACACUCCAAUUAAAUAAAAAUAACUAUAAUUAUGUCAAAAUUAUUUAGUCAGUCUCACGUAUAUAUAAUUAAUUCAUCAAACACAUAAACAAAAAAGUUCUUGUAUGUAUGCUAUACUUUGAUUUGUCUCAACAAGAAAUGACUCAGUCAUCUUUUUAUCUAUGUCCAUUGAGUUUAUGGAGGGCAACAUAUUGAGAUCUCAAAAAUCUUAUUCUCAUACAACACACUUUUUUUUUUGAACAAACGAUAUUAUCUACACUAAGGGAAAAUGGGUGGCCUAAACCUCACAAUGGGCUAGCAAUAAUGUGGUUCAAAUUCACAUUUGGCGAGAAUCAAACCUAAGACCUCUCACUGACAAGUGAAGAAGAAUAUCACUAGACCGUAGUCCUAAAAAAAAUAUAGAUCUUAUAGUCUUGCAGUGUUUUAGAUUAGCUAAAACGUUGGUAUCCAUAUUAACUUACCAAAAAAAAUAUGUUGAAUUUGCUACACCUGGAAUUUGUAGCAGAUUUGUCAUUUUAUAAAGGGGUUUUUAACUCAUUUAAAAAAAAAGAAGGGGUUUUUAACUUUAAUUCUUAAAAAAAAUUGAAAUUUAAUAAAAAUCGGAUGUUAGAUUACAUAUUAAUUAUUGUCCUUUAAUGUGUUAUUAACUCAAAUUAAUUAAUGUGUAUUUUAUUCAAUAUCUCACAUUAAAUAUUUGAAUUUAUGAAAAUGAAAAUUAUAAUAAAAUAUAAUUAAUAUAUCAAAAUUAGAAAGAAAAAGAGAAAUAAUUAAAACAUCAAAAUAUAAUUAAUAAAUGAAGUAAUUAACAUAUCAAGAGACUAAAAUUAGAUUUUAAUUUUACUCAUGUUUUUAAUUUAAAGUUAUUUUUAUCAAAAAUUAAAAUGAAGUUUCCUAUUUUGUAAAUUACAACGAUGAAAAAUGACGCGUUGCACGUAAGAAACAACAUCUAUAUUUUCUCUUUUGUUUAAUAUGCCAUCAAACAUAUCCAUCACAUUUUAAAUUUUGUGGAAGUCCCUCUCUCACAUUGAUAAAGUCUGGUUUGUGUUGGACAGCUGUCCAACAGACAACCCAAAAAUCUUCCAAAAACCAACAAACAUUUCUGACCAGUCAUGCAUACGUAUGCAUGGACCCAAUGGCAUAUAAUCAAAAAUUUUAAAUAAUGGGAUCGUAAUGUCAACUUAAAAAAAAGUUUCAUUAAGCUAUUUCAUCGAACAUUUAGUAAGCAAUUGUCAAUUCUUGUCAACAAUGCCAAAAGUUUAUGUUAAAAUAUAUCAACUACGAUAAUUUGUAGAGGCUUGUCGAGAGUGAUGUAGGAUACUACGAAGUAAUAUUGAGAACUCUUAAAGCUUUUCAACUAAAGUAUUUUAUAUAAAAAGAGAGAAAAGAAAAACAAAUAUGAUAGAAGAAAAUAGAAGAAGUAAGAAGAUGAGGUUGUAAGUUAGUUUGCUUUAGCUAUUUAUAAUGGUCAAAUAAAAUAUACAAACAAAUAUACAUGAGAUUUUUAAAGUUGUUGAGAUCAAGGAUAAUCAAUGAUCCCAUUCUAGUUUUGCCAUUGCAUGGGCCGGAUAGGGAUAUGGCUAAAAUAUAAUUCUAUUAAUUGCGUUUUGGGACUUUGUCUAACAACUUGGCUCUCUCUUGACUUGGAUGCCAUGGAUGGCUCAUGCAGUUUACUAAAACUAGUAAUGUACAAUUUUCAGAGACUAUUAAUUAUCAUCUAUCAGGAAAAUUUGAUUUCCAUGCUUGCCCUUUCACGUCGGUGACUUGGAGAUAAUAUUGUUUCUUGUCCGGAGAUGAAAUAAAAUAAAAAGACUUGCACGAUCAUACUGCAUUAUAUAUAUUACACUAUAUAGUCUAUGUUGGGAGUUAUAUAUUAGUUAAAGUAUAAAUAGUAGUCUGUUAUCCUAUAUUGAUGAAGUGCAUAUGUAAUACAAAUUGUAAUUCCUAUAUAUACUCCAUUUUGGAGAUUAAUGAAUAUAUGAGAAAUUCUCAAAUAUUAUCAUAUAUAUUUUUGGUAUUUACCAUGUUUAGUUUAAUAUAGCAUCAAAGCAGUUCGCUCUUGGUGACCUGUGUGCUUUAAUUUUGUGCCCCACAUUUGUCAUGAUUUCCUUCGUCUUGAAAAAAAAAAAGGAAAGUAAAUAGUGUUGCACUACAGUACAAACAGUGCGUAAACAGUGGUAUGCUACAGUGUUCAUGAACAAUAUUUUGCUACAGUGCCAUUAACAGUGAUCUACUACAUCACUUGAACAGUGAUGUGCUACAGUAUUAUGGUAAAUUGUUUUCAUUCCGCUGCCUAUCUUUUGUGCCUUUAUUGUUUGUGAUUUAAUUCAAUGGCUCAGUAUAAUCAUAAUGUUGUUAUGCAUCUUGGUGGAACAAAUAAAUGGAUAAUUGAUACUGGGACCACUAAUCAUGUGACUAGUGACCCUAGAAUGUUUGAUGAGUUAUGUGACUAUAUUCUUGAUCCGUAUAUUACUAGUGCAAAUGGAGCACAUUCCCCCGUGAAUGUUGAAGGCAUUAUCUCUCUUACUUCGACCUUAUCACUGGUCCAUACUUUACUUGUUCCUGAUGUUAAGUGCAAUCUUUUGUCGGUAGAAAAACUACUUGAUACUUUAUAUUGUUUUGCUCACUUCUACCCUACGUAUUGUUAUUUUCAAGACAUUCAAACUCAGAAAGUAAUUGGUCAUGGUAAAAGAAUAGAGGGUUGUACAUCUUGACUAUGGAGGAUACUGUUGUUUCCGGUUCAAAUAAUCAUCAAGUUUUAAGUGCUAAAGUGGAUGACAUACAUCAAAUUUGGUUGUGGCAUUGGCGAUUAGGACGUCUAUCAUUCAGUUAUAUGAAGCAUCUAUUUCCUGCUUUGUUUCGCAUUUGUAGUGAUUCAUAAUUCAAGUGUGAAGCAUGUGUCAUGGCUAAGAGUCAUCGUGCUUCCUUUCCCAUAAGUGAUUCUAAAGCUACUUUGCCAUUUGAUUUAAUACAUUCUGAUGUGUGAGGUCCGGCAAAUGUUACUUCUAAUGAAUUUCGUUGGUUUGUUACUUUUAUUGAUGAUUGUACUCGAUUAACUUAGGUGUUAUUGAUGAAGAAUAAGAGUGAUGUUCAUUUGCUUCUUCAAGAAUUUUGUGCAAUGGUGUAUACUCAGUUUCAGACCAAAGUUAAGGUUUUCAGGUUUGAUAAUAGAGGAGAAUAUGUGAAUCACACUUUGACAUGCUUUUUUCGUGAUCAGGGUAUUAUUCACCAGACGACUACUUUGUUUACACCCCAACAAAAUGGUGUGUCAGAACAGAAGAAUCGUCAAAUAAUGGAGGUUGCUCACUCAUUGAUGUUGGAUAAAUGUGUUCCUAAUCAUUUAUGGGGUCAUGUUGUUUUGGCUGUUGUAUAUUUGAUAAAUCGUGUUCUAAGUAGGGUUCUUGAUUUUCAGACACCACUUGAUGUGUUACAAAAGCAUGUUUAUCUUGUUUCUGUAUCAAAACUUCCUCCGAAGGUGUUUGGGUGUAUUGCGUAUGUGUAUGUCUACUCUUAUCAGCGGAGUAAACUUGAUGCAUGUGUUCUUCGAUGUGUAUUUAGUAGGUAUGCUAACAAUCAGAAAGGCUAUAAGUGUUAUCAUCCUCCGACUCAUAAAACUUAUAUUACCAUGGAUGUCACUUUCCACGAGGAAGUUUCGUAUUUUGUGAAGCCAUCUUCCGACUCUCCACUUCAGGGGAAAAAAGGGAGUGAAGUGCAUAUUUGAAGAGAUGGUAUGGAUGAUGUGUUACAGGCAGAGUUGGGGAUAGAACCUAUUAUGUUGCGUGAUACUGAUCAGUCGGUUAUAGAUAGUGAUCUGUCACCUAUUAUUCCUAAAACUAUUUUUACUGACGACAGAUUAGAUGUGCCCAACGAGUUGCUUGUCAGUAUGUCUGACGAAUUACUUUCUGAUGACCGAUUGCUUGCUUCUGGUAUGUCUAACGAGCUGCCUGAUGAUGGUUAGUUCAGUGAUGGUUCAUCCAGUGAUGAUUCUUUUAACAAUUUGGUACAAGAUAAUGACAUACAUGAGUUAAAUUCUGACGAUUCUUCUAUUUAUUAGUUGCCUCCACGAGCUAAUCGUGGAAAACCUAAGGUACAAUAUGAGCCUGAUAUGCAUGCCAAAUCCAAAUAUCCUAUCAACAAUUAUGUGUUUACUCAUCGUUUGUCCAAACCAUUUUCAUCUUACAUAUGUCAGCUAUCUAGUGUAUCAAUUCCAACAAAAUUGCACGAUGCCUUGUCUGACCCUAAGUGGGUUAAUGCCAUGAGAGUUGAGAUGGAAGCCUUGGAAAAGAAUUCUACUUGGGAUUUGGUUCAUUUACCAAAUGGGAAGAAAGCUGUUGGAUGUAGAUAGGUGUUCACUAUUAAGCACAAAGCAGAUGGUUCUAUUGACCGGUAUAAAGCCAUAUUAGUUGCUAAGGAUUAUACUCAAACCUAUAGGGUGGACUAUCAGGAGAUUUUUGUUCUUGUUGCCAAACUUAAUACUGUGUGUGUUCUUCUGUCCUUAGUAGCAAACCAGGAUUGGCCUCUGUUGCAGUUUGAUGUUAAGAAUGAUUUCCUUCAUGGUGAUCUCAAGGAGGAAAUUUAUAUGGAUCUCCCACUUAGUAUUAGAACAUCUCCUGAAAAAUGUGUUGUAUGCAAGUUGCAAAAAGCUUUGUAUAGUUUGAAACAAUCUCUUAGAGUGUGGUUUUGGAGGUUUACAAGUUCAAUGAAGAAGUUUGGGUAUGUCCAGAGUCAUUCAAAUCAUACUUUGUUUCUAAAUUGUUUCUAAAGCCACAAAAUGGUAAGCUAACUGCAUUGAUUAUUUAUGUUGAUGACAUGUUAGUGACUAGUGAUGAUCAAAAGGAGAUACAACGCCUUAAAAAAGUACCUAGCUAGUGAAUUUGAGAUGAAAGAAUUGGGUGAAUUGAAGUAUUUUCUUGGAAUCGAGGUUGCACAAUCCAAGCAUGGUAUUUUUCUGUCUCAACAGAAGUAUGUUCUUGAUUUGUUAGUUGAAACAAAUCUGUUAGAUUGCAAACUUAUUGAUACUCUGAUUGAGCAAAAUCAUCAUCUGGGCUUAUUUCCGAAUCAAGUUCCUACUCAUAAGGAACGGUAUCAGAGGCUUGUGGGGAAAUUAAUUUAUUUGUCUCACACUUGCCCUGACAUUGCUUAUGCAGUUAGUGUAGUAAGUCAGUUUAUGCACUCACCUAGUGAAGCUCAUAUGGAUGAAAUAGUCCGUAUUUUGAGGUGCUUGAAGAUGGCUCCUGGCAGAGGCUUGGUUUUCUCCAAGAAUGGUCAUUUGAAUGUCGAAGGGUAUACAGAUGCAGAUUGGACAAGUUCUAUCACUGAUUGGCGGGUGGUAAUCUAGUUACUUGGAGAAGUAGAAACAAAAAAUGGUGGCUAGGUCAAGUGCUGAAGCUGAGUUUCGUGGUAUGUCUCAUGGUGUAUGUGAGUUGUUGUGGUUAAAAAAAUUGUUGAGAGAUCUUGGAUUUAAACCCAAUGGUGCUAUGAAACUCCAUUGUGAUAACAAGGCUGCUAUUGAGAUUGCUCAUAAUCCAGUGCAACAUAAUCAAACAAAACAUGUGGAGAUUGAUCAACAUUUCAUCAAGGAAAAUUUGGAUGCUGGAAUUAUUAUGUUUCCGUUUGUGAGAUCUGAAGAUCAACUCGCUGAUGUACUUACUAAGACUGUGUCUAAUAGUGUGUUUUCCAACUCGCUUGACAAGUUGGGCAUGCAUGACAUCUUUGCUCCAACUUGAGGGGGAAUUUUACGAGUUAUAUAUAGUUAAAGUGUAAAUAGUAGUCUGUUGUCCUACAUUGAUGAAGUACAUAUGUAAUACUAAUUGUAACUCCUAUAUAUACUCCACUUUGGAGAUUAAUAAAUAUAUAAGAAAUUCCCAAAUAUUGUCAUAUAAAUUUUUGGUAUUUAUCAUGUUUAGUUUAAUAGUCUAAACAUCAGGAAAUACACCAACCCUAAACCUAAUGGAUUUUAUGAAGCCGCUGGUUUGGGUACACAUUAAUCUAACCUAAUUGCUCUACCACAUUCUAAACACAAAAUUUGUUAUAAAUAGGAUGAUUAAAUUUAUUUUCUCAAGCGGUAGAGUAGUGAACCUCACAGCGACGACAAUCUUCCACCCCCAAAUUCGGGUUUUUUUGUACUAAAAUGGUCUUUUAUGUAUAAGAACUUUACGAUAAGUUUAUUAAAAUUGGCUCUGUAUCUACGAAAUCUCAACAUCCAUACGUUACAAAAUGGAUUAGAACUCCUAGGAAAUAAAAUAGAACAUAUGAUGAUCCCUUUAAAGGGCCUUAUAAUGGGGAAGACUUCUCACAGAAUAUAAGAAGACGAAGAGGAAAACUAAAAACUUAGAACUUCAAGGAGAUGGACUGGAGCAGGGAGAAUGGCAAAGAACCGGAACCCAGAAGACCCGCAACGAAAAAGAAAACACUGUACUUUUUUUAGACAUUUUUUCACAUUUCUUCUCGGCCUUACAGCCAAGUAGCAUUUUCCGACCCCAAAUAAAGAUAGAAGGAAAAAACCAAAUUAAGGUAAAUAAAUUUUCUAUAGCAACUUGGCAAACAAAAACAUACUAGAAGAAAACAAGGAAAAUACAAAGAAAUUAAGGAAGUAUGGGAAACAAAAUAAAUUUAAUACGGGACCAACGACAACGGUGCAAAUGUAUAUUGUUCAGGAAAUAAACUUUUAGCGAAAAUGUGCUGCAAAAUUGACCAAUUUUGCUUCAUAUUCACACUCAAUUUUUUUAAGAAUUAAUAUCUGUAGAGUUUAGACCAAAAAUAAAAUAAAAAACAAAACCAAAAUGCUACUCCACUUUCUUGGUACUUAACUCAGCUCUCCACCUCCUUCCAAUCUUACAAGCUUCUAGAUUUAGAUUUGUCUCAAAUCACAUGCCAACUAACCUGCCCAGCUCAAUUUUAUUUUUUCUUUGGAAAUUCCAGUGCGUCUCUACUUUUGUUUUUCUAAAUCUUACUUACUCCCAUUAUAAUUGGAAUUUUAUAUAUUUAUAUGGAUGCUUUGUCAAGAUAUGAGAGAAAUAGUAGUGAUUCAAAAAGAUGAUUAGGAGCCAAAAAUAUUUAUUAUUUUAGAUUGGUGUUUAUGUUUUUGAACAGUUAAAAACUUUUUUGGUCAUUGUGUUUAUGUUUAAAAUUUAUUUUGGUCACUGUAUUUUAUUUUCUGCUAAUUUAGUUACUGUGUUAUCACAAGUUAGCAAUCUUAGUCCUUCUCAAUCAAACGUUAAAAAAAACGCACAUGACAUGCAAGUGCAGGGGUAACUAUGUAAGUGAAAAUAUAUCUUUGCCCCUGCACGAAACUGUCACGUGCAUUUUUUUGGCGGUUGACUUAUGGUAACGCAGUGACCAAUUUGGCAGAAAAUAAAACACAAUGACCAAAAUAAAUUUUAGAAAUACACACAGCGACCAAAAACGUUUUAAUUUAACCCAUUUUUAACAGUCCAGCCAGCUACCAUGAAAGCUACAACAUGAAAGCUGACUGUCAAAAUUUUGUUUAAAAAUUCAUACACAAUAAUCGUCAUAAGAACGUGCAAUAGGUACUUUGAAUUCUUAAAUAUACUGCAUGGUUACCCUUUCCUUUUGUUUUAUACAGAGAAAUCUUGACAGGCAGUCAAAAGCAAAAUUAUGUUCUUCUAGUGAUAUCUGUGUGCUAAAAAGGAAGUACGUAGCUACGUUCAGUCUUCACCUAACACUCCUAUUUGCACCUAAAAGAUGUGGAUAACAAAGAUUUUGACCAAAAUCACAUUGACAAGUACUUGCCAAAGGAUCACGGAACCUAUGAUUGUAAAAGAUAUACGUGUUGGGCCUGACCGACGUUAAUUAGUUGUUCAUAUUGAUUUGAGAAAUUUGAUUGAAUGAGGAUUAACAAAUCACAAUUGCUAAAAUAUUAAAAUGUAUUAACUGCGACAUAUUGGUUAAAUAAUUAUUGCACAUCGAAAAAAUAUUGACGAGUAAUUAUGAAUUUUUAUUUUCAUUAUUUCAAACAUUUUUAUAUUAGAAAAGCUAAAGAAAAUGAUUUAAAAACUUUGAAUUUUAAUGAUACGUACAAAAUGAAAGGUAAAAUAAAUAGUACCAGAAUUAACUUUUUGUUUAAAUUUUAUUUUCUAUUUGGCAUCAACUUUUGGUUUAAAUAUACUAUAUAACCCUCACAAAAGAAAAAGCAUGGUGUACUAGUAGCUAAAAGACAUAAAAAAGGUUAAUCUUAAUUUAUUAUUCUAAAGUUUCUUAGUUUUCAAUAUUUGGUAUAUAAAGUUUUUUUUAUUCUAGAGUUGUACAUAAAGUUAUAAUUUUGGGAUACUUUCAUACAUCCAUUAAGGUUGCUGUUAAAUUUAUCAUUAACUGAUGAUAUGACAUUUAUGUUGACAAUGACACGUAGAUAUUAAAAAUUAAAAAUUAAAUUAAUAAAAUAAUAAAAAUUAAAAAAAAAAAAAAAUUGGGCGUCUUCACCCUCACCCCUUCUGACCCCCCUCCCUUCUCUCCUCUGCACCCACGCUUCCCCCUCCCUCUUCGACUCCACCCAACGCUGCACUCCGAGGAUUGUUGCCAUCCUUUCAAGCCCAAUUUCGCCCCCAAAUAGGCCCGGGCAGUACUUGGCCAUAAACUUCAAGUCGUAGACCCUCUCGAACAAACGACCUGCCAUCUUUGCGAACUCAGUGGGGGAGCUGAGGAUGGUCUUCCUCGUCACCAGCUUCAUUACAUAGGCCGAGUCGUAGAGGCCGUGGAAGCUCACCCAUACGAGCUGCCCCCUGUGCACCCUUAAAAUCUCAACGAAACCCUCCACAAAAAUAUCCGAAUCAAUGCCGAACUUCCCAAAUUUCUCGAGAUCCAAGCCAUUCGCUUUGAGGAGGGCAAUGGAUUCUGGAACAUGGGGGUCGGUUUCCUCGUCAAAACCCCGAAAGUUGAACUCCCAGGUGCCGCCGACGUUGCCGCGGUCGUCGAACAGGGUGAUACCCACUUGGAUGAGAUUGAGAGAAUCGACAUUAAGGGCGAUAUCUUGGUAACGGAGGCCCUUGGAAGUGCCUCUGGGGGUGUUGCGGAGGAACCCCGGAAAUUCGGUGUCGAACGAGACGAUCGGAAAACGGCAGAGACACCGAUCGACGGAGGGAAGGGGAAAGGUGGGUGCAAAGGAGAGAACGGGAGUGGGGUCGGAAGGGGUGAGGAAGAAGAUGCCCAAAUUUUUUUAUUUAUUUAAUUUUUUUAGUUUUUAUUAUUUUAUUUUUUAAUAUGCACGUGUCAUCAUGUCAUUGUCCACGUGGAUAACACAUCAUUAGUUAACAGUAAAUUUAAAGGCAACCUUAAUGAAUGUAUAAAAUUGUUCCAAAAUUAUAACUUUAUGUACCACUCUGAGAUGAAAAAAACUUUAUUUACCAAAUAUUGAAAACAAAAAAACUUUAAGAUAAUAAACUAAUAUUAAUCCUAAAAAACUACUAAAGGAAAGGGUGAAAGAAAAAAUUAUUAGUUUGUGCUGUUCUCAUGGUAAUAGUGGUUUUUGUAUUGUACGAUCAUGUGUUACAUUUUAUGCAUUAUUAUGUGGAUGAAUGAAUAAGUUAAUUACAUCGCAUGUCAUAGGGUGAAUAUUACAUUAAAAAAUUCUUCAUUCUUGUUAUUCGUCAAAUUAAUGGUUGUGCAUUUGUAUGAGGACCUAGAUCUGUUGAGGAUGCAGAUCUUCACUCGUUGAAGGCCAUCCCUAUCUAUCUACUACUACUCUUUGGAAAAUAAUUGACUACAGAUGAUUGUACAAAAAAAUAAUUAAUAUUAUCUGAACAGCUCACCAUGCAUGUUCAGUAAAGUAAAGCGGAUUUGUUUAUUCAUUGUCUAGUUCAAACUUGGGGAGCAUUUUCUCAUUCUUGCGGUGAUCAGAAUAAUGUGAUUUAAGUCCAGUUAAACAUGCUUAAUUAUGCAUUUAAGCAUCUUUUAUUUAUUUGCUUUCAUUAUUUUUUCCUUCUUAAUGUGUUGUUAUUGUUUGGAACAACAAGUAAGACAAAUCUAGCCAGUUAGCAUUCACCGCAUCACCGCAUAAUGAAAGAUUAUUCAUAUUUGGAAAUGAAUAAUUAAUUAAAAAACUGUAUUAUUAAGGCAAAUGGGCACUUAAUAUUUGUAUCUUAAACCUUCCGAGUCGGAUAUUCGAGUAAAUUAGUUAAAAAGCUAUGCAAAAUGUGAAUGUGACAGACUACGUAGUAAAGUUUGGGUUAAGAGAGAGAGAGAGAGAGAGAGAGAGUAUUUCGCAGCCGGCUGGUCCCUAUGUACGGGAAGAAUCAUAGAAAGUUAGGUAACUACACACAUUUUUCAAAGAUGUCGAUCAUGAAAAAUAUUUGAUAACAAAUUCAGGGAGGACAUACUGCUUAAAUUAUUAACCUAGAAAUAAAGUUCGAUCUCUUGCUUUAACUUUUCUGCUACGUAGCUCUUAUUGCAUUAAACAAAGCCUUAUUAAAGUAAAGAUGGUCACACCCUUAGCCCUUUAGGUGAUACGUUCAGGGAAAUGGUUAAUGUUUUUACAAGCUCUUGUUUAUUUUUAUUUUUUAAUAUUUUCAGAUAUUUUUACAAUCUUUUACUGCGCAGUAAUAGAGUGUAAAAAUCAUAUCUAUGUAUUUAUUUAUUAUUAACUAUGUUUACAAUGAACCUUCUAUUCCAUGAAACAAGAUAUAAAAAUAAAAAUAAAAAGGAGAAGGGCAUAAAUUAACAAAAUUCGGUCAAAGGCCGCAUUGGUCCAAACAUUAAUUGAUAAUCUAUGACAAAUAGUCUGGCCCCAUUAGCAUUAUUUUAACAGUAAUAUUGUUUUUUUACUAAGAUAAUUAAUAAUUGCCAAGUGAAAAUUUGGCAUGAGUACCAUUGUGAAGGGUAAAAACCAAAGCUAUAUAAAGGGUGAGGAGGCUUAGCUUCAGAGGCAGACAACCAAAAACCCAUUCUUAACGAAGGAUGGGAAAAAUGGUGCCUUCACAAGUGACCUCUCUUGUGGUCACUCUCCUAGUGGCAAUAGUCUCUCUCACAUUGCCUUCAGAAACUUCAGCUAACUACCCUUACACCUCUCCACCACCACCGGCCUCUCCUCCCUACCAUUACAAGUCACCACCGCCUCCUUCUCCUUCUCCUCCAGUGCACUACUCACCACCUAAGCAUCCCUACCACCCUAAGUCACCACCACCUCCUGUGUACGCACCACCUAAGCAUCCCUACCACCCUAAGUCACCACCACCUCCUGUGUACCCACCACCUAAGCAUCCCUACCACCCCAAGUCACCACCACCAUCACCAAAGCCUUACCACUACAAAUCCCCACCACCACCUCCUGCUCCAGUGCACUCACCACCCCCACCUAAGGAGCCAUACCACUACAAGUCCCCACCACCACCACCCAAGAAGCCCUACCACUACAAAUCUCCCCCACCACCUCCUCCUCCAGUUCACUCACCACCACCACCCAAGGAGCCUUACCACUACAAAUCUCCACCACCACCACCCAAGAAACCUUACUAUUACAAGUCUCCUCCACCACCACCAAAGAAGCCUUACCACUACAUGUCUCCUCCCCCACCGGUGUACUCACCACCUCCACCAGUGCACUCACACCCACCACCAAAAAAGCCUUACCAUUACAAAUCUCCUCCCCCGCCAGAAUAUUCACCAGCUCCACCAGUGCACUCAACCCCACCACCAAAGAAGCCCUACCAUUACAAAUCCCCACCACCACCACCACCACACAAGAAGCCUUAUUACCCUGUUCACUCACCACCUCCACCUAAGAAGCCUUACCACUACAAAUCCCCACCACCACCUUCUCCUACUCCUCCUAAAUACUCACCACCUAAGCACCCCUACCACUACAAGUCUCCACCACCACCACCAAAGAAGCCUUACCAUUACAAGUCCCCACCACCUCCUUCUCCUACUCCCCCUAAAUACUCACCACCUAAGCACCCCUACCACUACAAGUCACCACCACCACCACCCCAAGAAGCCUUACCACUACAAGUCUCCACCACCACCACCUCCUCCAGUUCCCACACCAUCUCCACCCAAGAAACCUUACCACUACAAGUCUCCCCCACCACCCCCUCCAGUCUACAAGUCUCCUCCACCACCAGUUUACUCACCACCACCACCACCUAAGAAACCUUACAAGCCACCAACUCCUCCAGCAGUUCACCCACCACACGGUUACAUCUAUUCCUCACCCCCACCUCCUCACCACUACUAGAUAUUGAAAGUUUAAUUGCAUCAAGCUGGUAAGCUUCUCCAUUCUAUGCUAUUAUUCAUUAAUUAGUUAGUACUACUGUUGUCAAUUUGGAAAUCACCAUACAACCAAAUGCACACUCUGACGAAAUAACAUAUAAAUUCUAAUUGAAUAGUCUUUAUUUCCAUUUUUGGCUAAUAAUCCUUAUUAGCAUAUGGAUAAUGUAUUUCCAACAUAUCGUUAUUAACUUAUUACUCAAUUAAUAUUUCUUUUUCUUUAAAUUCAGUAGCCGUGUGUAACAAAUAGACCAAUGGCAGAGACCCAACAAAUAACAAUAAUAUGUCUUUGCAGGUAAGGGAAGAAGAAAGGUCAGAAUAAAGAGGGGCUGUUGAAGUCGAACAGCGCGCCUUAUUACCACACAAAGAAGAAGAGAGAGAAAAAAACGAGUCUCCACGCAGCUGCUGAUGUGACGUGUUUUAUGUAUGCGAUAUUCGAUAGAGGUUCAUAUUUUC